rnacentral:rRNA from 1 species
UACGUAGGGGGCUAGCGUUGUCCGGAAUCAUUGGGCGUAAAGAGCGUGUAGGCGGCCCGGUAAGUCCGCUGCGAAAGUCGGGGGCUCAACCCUCGGAUGCCGGUGGAUACUGUCGGGCUCGAGUACGGAAGAGGCGAGUGGAAUCCUGGUGUAGCGGUGAAAUGCGCAGAUAUCAGGAGGAACACCUAUUGCGAAGGCAGCUCGCUGGGACGUUACUGACGCUGAGACGCGAAAGCGUGGGGAGCAAACAGG